rnacentral:rRNA from 1 species
AGUGAACGCUGGCGGUAGGCCUAACACAUGCAAGUCGAACGGCAGCACAGUAAGAGCUUGCUCUUACGGGUGGCGAGUGGCGGAGGGGUGAGGAAUACAUCGGCACCUACUUUUUCGUGGGGGAUCACGUAGGGAAACUUACGCUAAUACCGCAUACGCCCUACGGGUGUAUGCAGUGGCUCUUCGGACCUUGCGCGAUUGAAUGAGCCGAAGUUGGACUAGCUAGUUAGUGGGUUAAUGGUCCACCAAGGGUACGCUCCGUCACCGGUCUGAGAGGAUAAGCACCCACACUGGAACGGGGGCACGGACCAGACUCCUACGAGUGGCAGAAGUGGGGAAUAUUGGCCAAUGGGCGCAGGCGUGAUCCAGGCAUACCGCGUGGGUGAAGAAGGCCUUCGGGUUGUAAAGCUCUUUUGUUGGGAGAGAAAAGCAGCAGUUUAAUACCCCGCUGUUCUGACGGUACCCAAAGAAUAAGCACCGGCUAACUUCGUG